GUUCUCUUGGGCUUUUAAGGACGGGGGCUCUGAGAGAGGAGGUAAAAUCCAAGGAAGCAGCUGACUCCAGGGGAUCCAGUGUCAAGUAAAGGAUAUGGAUGUAGGCUCCAGCAAAAUGUGUAUCAGAGCAUGUGUUAAAAGCAGUCAUCAGUUGUCUUAUUUUAAGAGGAUACUUCAUGUCAUAGGUGUGGUCCGGUUUUAAAUAAACAGCCUCUGUUAUGAAGUUCAUUAUUUAGUCUUGUGAGUAGCCAGUAAAGAUGCUUGUUUGUUUAUUUUUAGUUUUGGGGUUGGGAUAGGGGAAGGAGCACCUAUGAAACUGGGGGGGCCUGAAUGCACUCCUAUCUAAGUACAAACUGAAUAUCAAUAGUAUUGAAUUCAAAUUAGCUUUUUUAACAAGUAACUAGAAAAUAAAGUUUGGUAUCUGUUUUAUUUGCUUGUGCUUGAGCCAAGUAAUUGAAAACUAGAGUUUCUGUUUCUAAUUAGUAGGGAGACAUAAAUGCUCUUUAUGUAAAGUACAGAUCAGUAUAGAUGAUUUGGUAAUAAUAAGAGAUAAUAUGCAUGCAUAUCACUUGAGUGGGAGACACAAGAAAUGCUGCAAAAUUACCAACACCCUUAGGUAUCAGAGAAUUUUUCAGUUGCCCCAUAGGAAUUGAAAACUUGCAUCUUGGAUAUGAAGGUUUCAUGCUAGUAUGAGUUCUUCUGAAGAUUUUGGCAGACUGCUGCCAGAGUGAUACAGAUACAAUCCAAAUGUGAACUGCUGUGCGAGACUGAAGUUUCAGUGUGCUGGUGAUGAAGGGGUGUAUGCGGGUGUUCUUCACAAAAGGUUUGGGGUUCGUGUGAGCUUUCAUGUACAAAUCUCUUUGAUCAAGAAAUCUAACUCAAAGUUUUCAGAAGAAACUGUUUUCUCCCAAGACUUCCACUGAUCUUCAGAGCCUAUGGAAAAGCCCUUCACAAAAGUUCCUCCAACUUCAGCCGCUGUUACUUGACCACUCAUCUCCUCUUCUGAUAGGAACAAUGCUACUUACACACAAAUGGAAAAAGAAAUUACACAAAGCACCACCUCCACCACUACGUCUGAAAAGGAUCAGUGAUCUUUGCUUCUUGGGUAGUUGAUGGAGAAUGAAUAAGCAAGAAAAGAGCUUGCUUUUCAAGGAUCAACUUUCUUGUUUGCCUUCUUUCCUUACAGCACUUAAUUUGUGCACAUAUAAAUAAAACAAAU
rnacentral:lncRNA from 1 species